GGGCGCAGCCUGAUGCAGCAACGCCGCGUGAGGGACGACGGCCUUCGGGUUGUAAACCUCUUUUAGCAGGGAAGAAGCGAAAGUGACGGUACCUGCAGAAAAAGCGCCGGCUAACUACGUGCCAGCAGCCGCGGUAAUACGUAGGGCGCAAGCGUUAUCCGGAAUUAUUGGGCGUAAAGAGCUCGUAGGCGGUUUGUCGCGUCUGCUGUGAAAUCCGGAGGCUCAACCUCCGGCCUGCAGUGGGUACGGGCAGACUAGAGUGCGGUAGGGGAGAUUGGAAUUCCUGGUGUAGCGGUGGAAUGCGCAGAUAUCAGGAGGAACACCGAUGGCGAAGGCAGAUCUCUGGGCCGUAACUGACGCUGAGGAGCGAAAGGGUGGGGAGCAAACAGGCUUAGAUACCCUGGUAGUCCACCCCGUAAACGUUGGGAACUAGUUGUGGGGUCCAUUCCACGGAUUCCGUGACGCAGCUAACGCAUUAAGUUCCCCGCCUGGGGAGUACGGCCGCAAGGCUAAAACUCAAAGGAAUUGACGGGGACCCGCACAAGCGGCGGAGCAUGCGGAUUAAUUCGAUGCAACGCGAAGAACCUUACCAAGGCUUGACAUAUACGAGAACGGGUCAGAAAUGGUCAACUCUUUGGACACUCGUAAACAGGUGGUGCAUGGUUGUCGUCAGCUCGUGUCGUGAGAUGUUGGGUUAAGUCCCGCAACGAGCGCAACCCUCGUUCUAUGUUGCCAGCACGUAAUGGUGGGAACUCAUGGGAUACUGCCGGGGUCAACUCGGAGGAAGGUGGGGAUGACGUCAAAUCAUCAUGCCCCUUAUGUCUUGGGCUUCACGCAUGCUACAAUGGCCCGGUACAAAGGGCUGCAAUACCGUGA
rnacentral:rRNA from 1 species